AAUUACUCCUGGAACCAGACUCCAUUGUUGAACGAUGAGUAGCAAUCAACUUAGGUCGUCGGUUUAUUAUUAAGAAAACGAUUGGAAUCAGGAUUCAAAAGCAGUAAUAACAAGGGAUCAAUGGAUUUAUUGUCGAAAUUAAACAAAGAAGGAGUCAAUUGAGGGGAGUAAUGGAGGAGAAAAAGCAAUAGACACGUAAUGAAGUGAUUAGAAUUAGAACUCAA
rnacentral:misc_RNA from 1 species